ACGAGAUUUGGCUACACAAUAAGUGCCAGCGAUGCCAUUAACUGUCGGCAAAAGUUUCGCCGACUGCUUCUACCGCGACUGUUUGUAAAUUGUCGGCAAAACCUUUUGUGAGACGUUAAGUAUCGGCAAAGGUACCCUUUGACGACAGUUGUAAGUGUCGGCAAAGCCAUGUUGUGUUAUAGUGUGAAUCGAUGUGGGGCAGAGGGCCAUCGGCGCUGAGUCGGUGCUUGUCGGCUGAAAUCGUCGCGGGGUAGGCGCAAGGUAGAGCUGAAUCUACGCACGGUGGGGCUUCGACGGGGUGCGACAGGGUGAAGUUGCCGGGCGAAAGGAGCCAUGCCUGCAAUGUAUCACUAAAGAAAGAAGGACGCCCGGGACUCUACCUCAUCUCUCUCUUCACGUACGCCGGCUGCAACCCAGUGACCACAAGGAAAUGAAUCAUUGAAUCUGCAGUAUCCGAUGCAGCUCACUGCACGGCUCGGGUGGUGUGUGGCUGGUGGCGGCGGCUCACUCAAGGAUGUGGGCAACAUAUGACGCAGCUUGUUGACUCGUGUAGGCGCAACAGCUUAGGGCUUGUAUGCCAGUGAGAAGGGAAGUAAGAAAGGGAUUGAGAAAAUAUGUCGCUUUCUUCCCUUUCAUUUGGAGAGAGGAGAGAUUUUGAGGGAUUCGGAAAAUUUUGGAGGGAAAGAGAAUUAAAAAGAGAAUUUGAUGGAGCUCUUUUGUACUUAAUUUUCUUUAUUGAUAGUUAUAUAGAAAGAGUGUUUGGCUAAGUUAGUAAGGUCUACUUGGUCUAGUUGUGAGUUAUGGAUAAGACAAUGUGACUAUGGGCUGAGCAUGUUCGCUUAUCUGAAAAAUUAUAGUUGAAAGUA